rnacentral:rRNA from 1 species
AGGACGAACGCUGGCGGCGUGCUUAACACAUGCAAGUCGAGCGGUAAGGCCUUUCGGGGUACACGAGCGGAGAACGGGUGAGUAACACGUGGGUGAUCUGCCCUGCACUCUGGGAUAAGCCUGGGAAACUGGGUCUAAUACCGGAUAUGACCUGCUCUCGCAUGGGGGUGGGUGGAAAGAUUUAUCGGUGCAGGAUGGGCCCGCGGCCUAUCAGCUUGUUGGUGGGGUAAUGGCCUACCAAGGCGACGACGGGUAGCCGACCUGAGAGGGUGACCGGCCACACUGGGACUGAGACACGGCCCAGACUCCUACGGGAGGCAGCAGUGGGGAAUAUUGCACAAUGGGCGAAAGCCUGAUGCAGCGACGCGCGUGAGGAUGAAGGCCUUCGGGUUGUAAACCUCUUUCAGCAGGACGAAGCGUGAGUGACGGUACUGCAGAAGAAGCACCGGCUAACUACGUGCCAGCAGCCGAC